rnacentral:lncRNA from 1 species
GUUCACAGGUUCUGCCCCAGGCCUGGCACCGUGGCCUUCCCAGCCUGGCCCAGGAUAGGGGACAUGAAUGAUCCUUGCCUGUGCUUCUUUGGACCAUGUGAGUUUGGACACUCACUGCAGAAGUCCCUCCAGGUCCCUUUUCAACUGAGUUGUGGGGGACUUGCUUAGUCCUCAUGCCCAGGGUCAGGGGAGGGGUGCAGAGUCUGCACCCCAAAUCCCCUAGGGCCUGAGGGAGGUAUCCCAGGUGACCUCUGUCCUCUCCAGUGACAUGAGUCCUCCCAGAUGGCCUCAGCCCUCUCAAGUGACAUGCUUCCAUGGUGACUCUGGCUCUUGCAGGAGGUGGGCUACUACAGGGACAUGAGCUGCCUAACUGCCAUCCUCCUCCUGUAUCUGCCAGAGGAAGACACCUUCUGGGCACUGGAUCAGCUGAUGGCUGAGGAGAGGCACUCCCUGCAGGGUAGGCGGACAGCUACCCCCAGGGCCUCACACAGCCAGGCCAUGGGACGGCCACCCUGCCUGGGCGAUCCUGACUUCCCGGCAAGGCACCUUCCUUGCUUUCCAGCUUGUU